CUCAAAAACCAUUCCUUCUUUGUCCAUAAAGUCGAUGAAGGCAGAUGCUUCUCACCCUAGACCUCAGGUCUUCAGGUCCCUCGUAGCAGCUCUGAGAGUCCUCAGUGUGGAGCCCCAUGUCAAGCAUUCCCUAAGUGAAAACAAUAAUCAGUUUAGUAAUUUGGGAGCCAUCAAGAACUCAUUCAUGGCUUAGAUAGAGGAAAAAAACUUUCAGAGCUCUCACAGGGAGCUGAAAUGUUCAUGAAUAUCAAACAAAAGUUAACUGCAUAGAGUAACUAAAGAAGUCUGAAGUAUCUUCUAAACUUUUUGCUUAAAACGUUUUUUGCUUAAAUCCUUUGUUUUGUUUUUCAGAGUCAAGAAAACUUUUUUUUGAGCUAUUUACAGCUUUUAGCAAUUGAGUAAAGUAUACUCCUCCGAACAAAAUUUGGAGCUUAUUUGUUUCUCUCUACCUGAUUUCUCCAGAAUUUGGAAACUAGUUGUGAAUAUUCUUAAGUUAUGGCAAUAUAGGUAUUUGCAUAAGUGCAAUAAGAAUGUUUUCUUUUGCAACAGGACACAAUUGGAGAAUAGCAUGUACAAAUAUUUAAGAUUACAUGCUUAUUUUUGUUGUGGCUCUCUCCUUUCACACAGUAAGCUCUGGGACCUAUCUGUGUCCUUCACCACCCUUUACUCGGUACCUAGCCCAGAGCUCACUCUCACCAUUAAUAUUUGUUUUAAAGAGAGAGGAAGGAGAGGAUUGCGACCUUAAUAACUCUUAGCCCACAGCCUUGGCAUACCCCCUUCUCAGGACCCUCUGAAUUCUCAAGAGCCUCUUGCCUUUCCUGUCUUCUUCUCUAGAGUGUGUGCCUGGGUUCAAAUCCUGGUGUUAAUAUUCACUAGCUGUGUUACACUGGAUAAGUGGUCUAUACUGUUUAAAUCUCGGUUUUCUGAGGUGAUAGCAGUUACCUCAUAGGGUUGUCAGGAGGAUUAUGAGAAAAUCCAUGUGAAACAUCUAACAGAGUACCUGGAAAAUUAUUGAUAAAAAUUAGCUGCCAUUGUUAUUGUCAUUAAUAACUAGCAAUCUCUAAGAUUCAAGCUAUUGGGUUUUUUUCCCACAAGAAAGUUCUCAUUAUAUAUAUAAAUCUGUGUAUCUUUAUAUAUAUAUAUAUAUAUAUAUAUAUAUAUAUACACACACACACGUAAUAUACGUAUGUAUAUAUACUUACAUAUAUAAAGAGUUCUUAUAAAUCAAUAAGAAAAUACAAGCACAAUAGGAAAAUGAGCAAACAUUAUAAACAUGCAAAUUCAUAGAAAUAUGUUUAAAAGCUGCAGAGGAGCUUCCUGCCAGCCCAGGGAAGCCAUAGCCUGUGCAUGAUCAGCCCCUUUUAGGAAACUAAGGUUGAUUUGAUGGAGCCAGUGCUGGCAAAUCUGUCCAAGGAAAACCGUCCUGGUACCUGGAUUUAAUUAAAAAGUUUUACACAAGUGUGUCAUUGUUAACAGUUUGAUAUACAGCCUAUCAUGACUCAGUCCUUUGUUUCUGGAUCAUCUAAUUUAGGACAAAGCUAUUUUGAGCUGGGGAAAAGAAAUUUCUGGAAAAUUGAGAAAAUAGUGUUAGUAGAGGAAGGCUCCUUUGCAGUACCUAUUGCUUUCAUGAGAAGGAUUUUUCCCUAAACCCUCUGACCCUAGGUCUUAUGCCUCUCAAGUGAAUUGCCUGACUUGAAAGGGGAACUGGGUGUGUGUGGCCCAGCCCUGUCCUCCUGCCCUCUUUCUCUCCCUCUGGGAAUCUUCCUAUCUACAGAGCGGUAGUGCUGAUGGCUGCUUGACUCUGGUUUUUCAGGUCAGACUAUAACUUGGCAAAUCUCUCUGAUACCAGAGGAGUUCAGGAUUGGGAAGUCUACUGUUGCCACAUACUUCUAUUCCAACUUUAUUAGGGAACAGAGAUGCUAUUUAUCGGGCUACCACCCCAAUAUUUAUUAUCAAUGUUUCUUUAGAAAAUUGCCUGGGGGCUUUAGGUUCUGGCAGUCAUCAUACAGGGAGUUACAGUGUCAUUUAAGGGUAUCAAAUUAGAAAACAGCUGUGGAAAAUUAUGUGAAAACCCAAUUUCCACGGACACUGUGGACAUGGUGAUUGUGGAUGUGUAAUGAACAGGGCCCAUGAUAAGAAUGUAAUUGAACAAUGCUUUUCCACAUUCAGCACAUCCAGAAUCUCAGAAUCCUUUACAUAAUUCAGAAUGUAUCUUGCCAGAACAAGAGAGACCACAUCAUAAAUGUGAAUUCUAAAUACACAGCUCUUUUUAAAAUCUACCAUGACUAAUUAUAACUGUUGGCUCAACAGAUGUACCCCCACUCCAUCACCCUUCUUUUUGGAAACACAAUACCACUAAGAGCCCCUGCAAGAUAUCCUCCUGAUGGGUCUAAAAAGCCCUCUGCUGACAAGUACCGCCUG
rnacentral:lncRNA from 1 species